rnacentral:lncRNA from 1 species
GACUUGCUCCAGCCAAUGAAAUGUAAGCAGAAGUGACAUAUGCAGCAUGACCAGUGGAAGCUUCGAAGAGCUAUUGCCAAUUUCCACCCUCUCUCUGGAAACUGUCAUUAGGGUUAGGGAAACUGUCAUGAGAUCUGCAUAUUUUAGAUAGAGGCUGCUUGCCUUAUUUGGGCACCUAAUGAAAAAGACAUGGAGGCCAGGUGCGGUGGCUCAUGUCUGUAAUCCCAGCACUUUGGGAGGCCAAGGCGAGUGGAUCACCUGAGGUCAGGAGUUCGAGACCAGCCUGACCAACAUGGCAAAACCCCGUCUGUACUAAAAGUGCAAACACAAAGGGAACUGCGUGGCUUGUUUCUACCUGAACAUUGUCAAGUGAUUUCAUCCUUUGAAACACAGUUGUGAAGUGUGUCCAGCAGUCUGAGAACAAGAAGAAGAAGAAAAUCUAAUCCUUCAGGGUGUCUGUGUGCCAGCCCUGCUCUCAGCACUUCCCAUGUGGAACUCCUUUACUUCUCCUAACAACUCCAUGACAUGGGUUAGACUGUGAUUGUUCCCAUAUUGUUGGUAGGGAAACUGAGGCAUGCAGGUGUUACAGAGCUCUCUCAAGUGGCAAGCUUUCUGGGUGGUUACAGAGUGGCAGAGCUGGGGUAUCCCAUGAUGUCACCACACUGCUAUAUGGAAAAGAACAUUAAUCGAGCACCUACGUGCUUGAUUCUCUUAAUUCUGUGACUGAACUCUCAAAACACCCUGGGUAAGCACUAUCAUCUCCUAUUUUCACAAGUGAAAAAACUGGGAUUCAAAAAAAUUAAGUGACUUACCAAAUAUUACAGAGCUAGUAAGCCAAGACUUGAACACUGAGAUGGAAUUCUACCUUUUAAGGUGGCUAAGCAACAGAAGGAUGUUCCUUUCCCAAGGGGACACAGAGGGAUUGAAAUGCAUAACAAUAGAGAUGAAACACGAAGAGUGAUAAAUGAAGAUUGAGUGUGCACACCUUCUGGAGGAGCCCUGAUUGAGUAUUUUAAAAUACUACUAAAGUCAUGCCGUGUGACUUCUGAAGCUAGCUCCUAAGAAGUCCUUGCAGCUUCUGCCUGCGACUCUUAGAACACUUGCUUUGAAGGAUGCCAGAUGCUGUCUUAAAAGUCUGAGCACUCUGAAACCAUCAUGCUGUGAGGAAGCCCAAGCUAACCACAUGGGCAAAAAAGAUGCCCUCUGACUGCCACCAUUUGAGACACUCUAAUUAAGAACUGCCUCAUUGAGCCCAUGAGGCCCUGUGAAUGAUAAUAAUAAAUUGUUUUUAACCACUA